UCAGUCGCGUUGUCCGGAACUCAGCCUUGCUUUUGCUUGGUGCACUUUCCGGAUGACGGGUCAGCAUCGAUUUUGACCGUCGGAAAAGGGCUGGAGUAAUGUGGCACCUCCGGGUGUGUUAUAGACUCUGGUCGCAUACGGCGGUUGGGAUCGAGGAACGCAGCGCGCCGCGAGGCAGGGGUUCGCCCACUUUCGCGCUUAGGAUGCUGGCAUAAUGGCUUUAAACGACCCGUCUUGAAACACGGACCAAGGAGUCUAACAUACUUGCGAGUGUUUGGGUGGAAAACCCGAGCGCGUAAUGAAAGUGAAAGUUGAGAUCCCUGUCGUGGGGAGCAUCGACGCCCGGACCAGACGUUCUCUGACGGAUCCGCGGUAGAGCAUGUAUGUUGGGACCCGAAAGAUGGUGAACUAUGCCUGAAUAGGGUGAAGCCAGAGGAAACUCUGGUGGAGGCUCGUAGCGAUUCUGACGUGCAAAUCGAUC
rnacentral:rRNA from 1 species